ACGUCCUUGAACGACGGAAACUGCGAACGGCUCAUUAAAUCAGUUGCGAUCUACUCGGCGUUCCGCGCCGCCGGAUAACCGUAGUAAUUCUAGGGCUAAUACGUGCGAAGCGCCCGAAGCCGCGAGGCGACGGGCGUUCUCGCCGGAUGUAGGAACCGACCCGGGGACCGCCGGGGCAACCCGGCGCCCCCGAGACGGGGCGAACCACGGUGAAAUGACGGAUCGUCGGCCCCGCGCCGGCGACUCGCCGAAUGAGUUUCUGACCUAUCAACUCGAGACGGCGGGGUAGAGGCCCGCCGCGGUAACGACGGGGUAACGGGGAAUCAGGGUUCGAUUCCGGAGAGGGAGCCCGAGAACGGCUACCACUUCCAAGGAAGGCAGCAGGCGCGCAACUUACCCUAAUCUCGAUUCGAGGAGGUAGUGACAAGAAUACCGAUGCGGGACCCUAC
rnacentral:rRNA from 1 species